UACCAACUUUUGACAUCCCCUUUACCAAUACAGAGAUAUAUCUUCCCCUUCGGGGGCAGGGGUGACUGUUGCCGCACAAUAGUAGUCAGCUCGCGUAAAGAGAUGUUGGGUUAAGUCCCGCAACGAGCUCAACCCUUGUCCCUAGUUGCCAGCAUUCGGUUGGGCACUCUAAGGAGACUUCCGGUGACAAACCGGAGGAAGGUGGGGAUGAUCUCAAAUCAUCAUGCGCCUUAUGAGUUGGCCUACACACGUGCUUCAACCGACGGUACAAAGAGCAGCGAAAAAGCCAGGCAGAGCCAAUCCCAGAAAGCCGUUCUCAAUUCGGACUGCAGGUUGCAACUCGCCUGCAUGAAGUCGCAAUCGUUAGUAAUCGCAGGCCAGCAUUAUGGGGCGAAUACGUUCCCGG
rnacentral:rRNA from 1 species